GCCCCUGUAGCUCAACUGGAUAGAGCAGUUCCCUCCUAAGGAAAAGGUCACCUGUUCAAAUCGGGUCAGGGGUACCA
rnacentral:tRNA from 1 species